CAUUUGAAUUCUUGGAUACGAAAUGCUGUAGCAAAAAUCAGUGCACGCUAGAAUUUCCAUUGAAUAUCUGUAGAAAUAACCUUAACAAAAUAAUAUACAAUGCACUGCUAACACAGUAGGACAUGGUACUGACUUAUAAAAAUGUUUAAUAUAUU